CCGAAUGGGGAAACCCAGUGUGAUUCGUCACACUAUCAUUAACUGAAUCCAUAGGUUAAUGAGGCGAACCGGGGGAACUGAAACAUCUAAGUACCCCGAGGAAAAGAAAUCAACCGAGAUUCCCCCAGUAGCGGCGAGCGAACGGGGAGGAGCCCAGAGCCUGAAUCAGCAUGUGUGUUAGUGGAAGCGUCUGGAAAGGUGCGCGAUACAGGGUGACAGCCCCGUACACAAAAGCGCAUGUGCUGUGAGCUCGAUGAGUAGGGCGGGACACGUGGUAUCCUGUCUGAAUAUGGGGGGACCAUCCUCCAAGGCUAAAUACUCCUGACUGACCGAUAGUGAACCAGUACCGUGAGGGAAAGGCGAAAAGAACCCCGGCGAGGGGAGUGAAAAAGAACCUGAAACCGUGUACGUACAAGCAGUGGGAGCACAGGUUUACCUGUGUGACUGCGUACCUUUUGUAUAAUGGGUCAGCGACUUAUAUUCUGUAGCAAGGUUAACCG
rnacentral:rRNA from 1 species